rnacentral:lncRNA from 1 species
GCUCGCGUGAGAGGCGGAGCUCCUACAACGACAAAACUGUUGGAUUUCCGACGUGCGCGGGAUGAUGGAGCCUGUGCACGCCACGCCCCAUCGCGCGUUUGUUUUUAUCCGACGGAUCUUGUUCGAUGCGCACGGCGUAUCGGAGCUUGUGCACAUCAUGCGCCGCCGCGCGUUUGUGCUUAUCGGACGGAGCUCGCACGGCGCGUCGGAGCUUGUGCACAUCAUGCGCCGCCGCGCGUUUGUGCUUAUCGGACGGAGCUCGCGGACGGAGCUCGCGGACGGAGCUCGCACGGCGUAUCGGAGCUUGUGCACAUCAUGCGCCGCAGCGCGUUUGUGCUUAUCGGACGGAGCUCGCACGGCGUGUUGGAGCUUGUGCACAUCAUGCGCCGCCGCGCGUUUGUGCUUAUCGGACGGAGCUCGCGGACGGAGCUCGCACGGCGUAUCGGAGCUUGUGCACAUCAUGCGCCGCCGCGCGUUUGUGCUUAUCGGACGGAGCUCGCACGGCGUGUCGGAGC